AGAUUGAACGCUGGCGGCAGGCCUAAUACAUGCAAGUCGAACGGACCCUUCGGGGUUAGUGGCGGACGGGUGAGUAACACGUGGGAACGUGCCCUUUGGUUCGGAACAACUCAGGGAAACUUGAGCUAAUACCGGAUGUGCCCUUCGGGGGAAAGAUUUAUCGCCAUUGGAGCGGCCCGCGUCUGAUUAGCUAGUUGGUGAGGUAAAGGCUCACCAAGGCUACGAUCAGUAGCUGGUCUGAGAGGAUGAUCAGCCACACUGGGACUGAGACACGGCCCAGACUCCUACGGGAGGCAGCAGUAGGGAAUCUUGCGCAAUGGGCGAAAGCCUGACGCAGCCAUGCCGCGUGAAUGAUGAAGGUCUUAGGAUUGUAAAAUUCUUUCAGCGGGACGAUAAUGACGGUACCGCAGAAGAAGCCCCGGCUAACUUCGUGCCAGCAGCCGC
rnacentral:rRNA from 1 species